GGAAGCGGCUCCAUAUGGACUUCGCCGGUCCAUUUCACGGCACAAUGCUGCUGGUGAUUGUGGACGCCAUGUCGAAGUGGCCGGAGGUGGUCCAGAUGAAACACGCCACGUCCGACGGCGUUCUGGAGGCCCUCCUGAACCUGUUCAGCCGUUACGGAGCCUGCACCGAAAUCGUCACCGAUAACGGUACGCAGUUCACAUCGCAAGAGUUUGCCGAUUUCUGCACGGUUCACGGCAUCCGACAUCUUCGGACACCACCUGGCCACCCACAGUCGAACGGCCAGGCGGAGCGCUACGUUCAAACUUUUAAGGACGGAAUCAGCAAGCUGAUGGCCGACCGGAAGCCAUUGCCUACAGCUCUGCGGGAAUUCCUGUUCCGGUACCGCAACGCGCCACAGGCCACAACUGGCAAGUCGCCAGCGGAACUGUUUCUGAGCCGCAAACUGCGUGGUCAGCUGGACUUGCUGGUGCCGGUGCUGAUGACAACGAUAGAGCGUAACCGGAAGCGUUACCAGCAAAAUUUCGACCAACGGACACAGGAGAAGCAUUUCCAAGUUGGCGAUUACGUAAUGGUACGUGAUUACCGUCCGAAUCGCGCAGUUGACUGGCAGCGUGGACAGCUGGUCAGACGUGAAGGUACCCGCAUCUGGGUUGUCCUGGUCAACGGAAUUGACCUGCGAAGGCACGAAAAUCAGAUGCGACCGAGGCAUUGGCUGCACCCAGACGAGCGUGCACUACCGAAUCCGCCAGCUGCACUUGUCGCACCUGCCGCACCGAAGACACCGGAUGUACCGAAAGUACCAGUCGCAUCGCCAGUGCAGACGGCUGCACUGCCUAACGAUGCCUUUCCGGAAGCGGUCACAAAGCAGGAUGCUGGUGGACAGAUCGCUACUGGUAAAGCACCUGAACUUACAUUACCGAAUGUUGAUAGCGCCAAACCAGUGAAGCCAGCGAAUGUGAAGAAUGCUAAGAAAACGCCACGCGUUCCUGAAGCGAUAACUGAUACCAGUUCUCAACUGAAGCCACCGGAACCAGAAGUGCGACGAAGCGGAAGAGACAGAAAAGAACCGGAUCGACUAAUCGCGGAUCCGAAAUUCGGGCGCUAGCUUUGUUUUGGCUUUAGUUGAGUGGGUCUCCCCACUGGGGGAGGUGUCAGAUACAUAUGUGCAGUGUAUACACAUGACCUUUUGCAUAGCAACAUAGAAGUUGCCUGUCAUUGUUGUGCUUUGCUGACAUUCAGUCAGCGACCUGCGAGUUCGAUAAUAAAUAUACAUUUAUUAUCACGUCACGACACAAGUCCUAUCUUGCGUUAAGCGAGCAAAAUCAUUCUUCGGUCUAGAGAACGUCGGCCGUAGAUUUUGACCGCUCAGAUGUGCUUAAGGUUUUCGAUACUUUUAAAAUCCAUCCUCAUCAAAAUUUUUGAAUAGGCAGUUUCACCUGGCUAUGUAAUGGGGCUGGACGGUUGUGCCCGAGUGUGUCUUAGCAUUUGAACGGUUUUUCGGUUCAACGGCAAAUUCGUCUGACGGGCAGGCUAUCCGUUCAUACAUUUAAACCGGCUGCAGACGUUCGCUUUUCACAGCACUGGAUUAUCCUCACUACUUUUGUGUAAUACCGGUAGAAAAAUUUUUGCCAUCCAGUGGCAUUUUCUCGGCAUCCACUGAGUGCCAGCUGGAUGACUUACUGUUCGAUACCACCCCCUUUGUUCGGUAUUUACGGCGGUUUUAUUCUGUAGUAUGCGGAGCCUGCAUAAUGCUUACCUCCACUCCAACGACGCUGAAUAUUCACGGCCUGAACGGUAAAGCCUCGGUUUGCGCUUUCACCUUCAUUGCCCCGGCGGGUAGCGGUGCACAGGUCGACUUUGAUCUGCCCAAUUUCAACCUUUUGACCUGCACUAUGGGAACUUUCAUCGUGUUUGGUGGUUCACAGUACUGCAGUGACCAGAUGCCUCCGCCAACGAUUAAACUAGAUGCCAAUGUUGCGGUAAUAUAUUGUUUCGCGAUUAUGGUGGAAUCUUUUCCUAAAACGCUAAUUUUUGUGGACAACAAUCAGCAGACCACGAAUUCCCUAAUUUUGCAAGUCAAAGCGGCUUCGUGAGCAGCAACGGAGGUUAAGAUAGUUCUUGGAGCCCGUUCUAAGCCUUCGCGCAAUUUUUGGAUAGUGAUCUACAGUCUAUGGAGUACUGAACAAUGGUGCCCUUCUGCAUUUUCCCAGGAGUAUUACCACCAAUCUAAUGGAAUUCUACUAUAUGGAUAUUUUAUGGUUCCAAAUGGUCGCGGUCGCUUAGUGUGUCAUAUUAAACAGCAACAAAAAAGUAAACAUUCACCGAGCAUUUCUGUAGAGGUUUAUUAACUGAAACACGGCCAAAUUAAGAAAUUGCCCUAAAUUACUGAACUGUGGGACCAUUUCCACUCGGUUUUGUU